UAAUACGUAGGUGGCAAGCGUUGUCCGGAAUUAUUGGGCGUAAAGCGCGCGCAGGCGGUUCCUUAAGUCUGAUGUGAAAGCCCCCGGCUCAACCGGGGAGGGUCAUUGGAAACUGGGGAACUUGAGUACUGAAGAGGAAAGCGGAAUUCCACGUGUAGCGGUGAAAUGCGUAGAGAUGUGGAGGAACACCAGUGGCGAAGGCGGCUUUCUGGUCAGUAACUGACGCUGAGGCGCGAAAGCGUGGGGAGCAAACAGGAUUAGAUACCCUGGUAGUCCACGCCGUAAACGAUGAGUGCUAAGUGUUAGAGGGUUUCCGCCCUUUAGUGCUGCAGCAAACGCAUUAAGCACUCCGCCUGGGGAGUACGGUCGCAAGACUG
rnacentral:rRNA from 1 species